rnacentral:lncRNA from 1 species
CAGCUACACCUGACUGAACGGAUGCUCUUUCUCUGUUCUGCUGCAGACCYGGGGGAUUCAAGCUAACCAGUCCUGACUUCGCAUUGGAGCUGCGGAGGAGCAUUCACACACUCGGACACUGAUCUCGGCUGGGAGACUUCCCUUUGGACUAUUAAAGGUGGUGUUUUACAUUGGCAAACUUUUCCUCAUCUGUAGACUGCUUCCGUCAACAACCUGUGGUCUAAUGGGAGGACAGUGUGUAGCCUGGCUCACUGCAAGGAAGCACACUUACGGGGGAUACUUGAAGGUAAAAACCCAAAGUUUGAAACACCUUGAAGCAUCCAAUGAAAUCCAACAUCUAGUCAGCAAUUUCCCAUUAACUUGCAAGCAUGUAACUUCUGAGGAACCAAGUCCGCGAUUGUCUCUCUGCUUAUGACAGUCUCUGUUUUGACCCUUGCUUGGAGACAGGCAUAUUAGAUGGAGUUGUGGACGGAACAGACUUGCGCUGCGUGACAGAGAGUUCUUCGUUUAGAGUCACUUCUGCUGAUUCCGCCUCCUUGGURAACCUUUUCCUUUAAGUCACCUCUGGGAAGCAGCACUACCUGGAAGCAGCAGGCAUCCUUCAGCAAGAGAUCAAGAUUCAUGCCAGCAUGACACUGCUGGUGAGCACUCACAGUCUAUCU